AUUUUAUUAUGGUUGUUCUGCAGCGAUUUUUCAAUUGAUGUUAUAUCAUAAUUUGGGUAAGUAAAAUUUUAUUGCUAUAAUUUUUCUGAAUUUCGGAACGUAUUUAAUAAAUUCUGUUUUAUCUAUGGUAUGGAUAUUUACUUUGCAAUAAUUUUCAUGACAUGAGACUACAUUUUGCUGCAAUUACAAGCGAUUUGAUCUGGUUUUGUUAUAAUUUCGUUUAAAUUUUAUGCGAAUAGGUACCUACUAUGUCGGGGUCCUACGAGAAAGCUGGCGUAUCAACGCCACGAAUAUUCAGGCGCCCGUAAAUCGUCAAAACGAGUGAAAAGCGCAUUCAGUUGAAUACAUGUGGACGACAAGAUAGUAAACCUGUAAAUUAUAACUCAAGUUGUGGCCAGCUUCAUUGUAAACAAACUUUAGUUUUCAAGUUCAAGGACAAAUGCGUGUCAGUAACAUGGAUAAAUGCUACUUCAUAUGUUUUAUUUCAGUCAAUGAACCUUUGACUGUUAUAGAAGUUUGUCGAGAUAAUAUAAUGACUUUAUCAGCAAUAUGAUGCCAAAGUUAAUACACUUUUUUAAAGAAUGUAUUCUGCCAGAAAUAGUUUUGAGACAUGUUCAAAAAAAUGCGAAAUGUAUACCUAGGUAUGAAAGCAGCUGUGUAGCAGUAGUUUCCAGGCAAUAAUGAGGAAGGAUGAGUGAAAACAACACGACAAAUGUUUUUUUAUUGUACUAUUAUAGUAGUGUGUUUAGAAUCUACAUUAUCAAUGUUUACAGUCAUGUUUUUUUUGAUGUCAGAAAACUGAAAUGGUGUACUCGUCGUAAUGAACAUAAUGUUCAUAAUGUGAUAUGAAUACAUUGACCUAUUUUAAGGUUUCUGAAAAACAAAAAGGAAA